CCUACGGGAGGCAGCAGUGAGGAAUAUUGGUCAAUGGACGAGAGUCUGAACCAGCCAAGUAGCGUGAAGGAUGACUGCCCUAUGGGUUGUAAACUUCUUUUAUAUGGGAAUAAAAUGUUCCACGUGUGGGAUUUUGUAUGUACCAUAUGAAUAAGGAUCGGCUAACUCCGUGCCAGCAGCCGCGGUAAUACGGAGGAUCCGAGCGUUAUCCGGAUUUAUUGGGUUUAAAGGGAGCGUAGGUGGAUUGUUAAGUCAGUUGUGAAAGUUUGCGGCUCAACCGGAAAAUUGCAGUUGAAACUGGCAGUCGUGAGUACAGUAGAGGUGGGCGGAAUUCGUGGUGUAGCGGUGAAAUGCUUAGAUAUCACGAAGAACUCCGAUUGCGAAGGCAGCUCACUGGACUGCAACUGACACUGAGGCUCGAAAGUGUGGGUAUCAAACAGGAUUAGAUACCCCUGUAGUC
rnacentral:rRNA from 1 species